GGCCUACCAUGGUGGUAACGGGUAACGGGGUGUUAGGGCACGACACCGGAGAGGGAGCCUGAGAAACGGCUACCACAUCCAAGGAUGGCAGCAGGCGCGCAAAUUACCCAAUCCCGACACGGGGAGGUAGUGACAAUAAAUAACAAUACGGGGUCCUUUCGGGUUUCGUAAUUGGAAUGAGUACAAUUUAAAUCUCUUAACGAGGAACAAUUGGAGGGCAAGUCUGGUGCCAGCAGCCGCGGUAAUUCCAGCUCCAAUAGCGUAUAUUAAAGUUGUUGCAGUUAAAAAGCUCGUAGUUGAAUUUCGGGAUUAGUGCGCCGGUCGUGCCUUCGGUAUGUACUGGUGUUACUGGUUCCUACCUUCUGACGAACCGUCAUGUCAUUAAUUUGGUGUGGCGGGGAAUCAGGACUGUUACUUUGAAAAAAUUAGAGUGUUUAAAGCAGGCUCGCGCUUGAAUACAUUAGCAUGGAAUAAUGAAAUAGGACGUUCGAUCCUAUUUUGUUGGUUUCUAGGAUUGACGUAAUGAUUAAUAGGGAUAGUUGGGGGCAUUAGUAUUCAAUUGUCAGAGGUGAAAUUCUUGGAUUUAUUGAAGACUAACUACUGCGAAAGCAUUUGCCAAGGAUGUUUUCAUUAAUCAAGAACGAAAGUUAGGGGAUCGAAGACGAUCAGAUACCGUCGUAGUCUUAACCAUAAACUAUGCCGACUAGGGAUCGGAUGAUGUUAUUUUUAAUGACUCAUUCGGCGCCUUACGGGAAACCAAAGUGUUUGGGUUC
rnacentral:rRNA from 1 species